rnacentral:rRNA from 1 species
GAUGAACGCUAGCGGCAGGCUUAAUACAUGCAAGUCGAGGGGUAGCAAGAUUGUAGCAAUACAAUUGUUGACGACCGGCAAACGGGUGCGGAACACGUACACAACCUUCCUACAAGUGGGGAAUAGCCCAGAGAAAUUUGGAUUAAUACCCCGUAACAUAGCGAUGUGGCAUCACAUUGCUAUUAUAGCUUCGGCGCUUGUUGAUGGGUGUGCGGCUGAUUAGAUGGUUGGCGGGGUAACGGCCCACCAAGUCUACGAUCAGUAGCUGAUGUGAGAGCAUGAUCAGCCAAACGGGAACUGAGACACGGGCCCGACUCCUACGGGAGGCAGCAGUAAGGAAUAUUGGACAAUGGACGCAAGUCUGAUCCAGCCAUGCAGCGUGAAGGAUUAAGGUCCUCUGGAUUGUAAACUUCUUUUAUAAGGGACGAAAAAAGGUCUUUCUAGAUCGUCUGACGGUACCUUAUGAAUAAGCACCGGCUAACUCCGUGCCAGCCGCCGCAGUAAAAC